rnacentral:lncRNA from 1 species
GAGGAAAUAAACAGAUCAUCAAAGGCUUGAAAUCAACAAUUAAACAUCACUAAAAAGAUCCCAAAUAGGGGAAACAACCACUGUAAAUAUGUUUGUCAAAUAACUGAAAAACAUGAAAGACUAUCUGAAAACUGUGAAAACAAUGAAAGAGUUAGCUGAGGUCCUCCAUGGUACCACUCCAUUCGAAUCCCAGAGUCACUCCAAGGUGGUGUUGCUGCUCGUGCUCCCUUCUUAGGCGGCAUUGGCUUCUGAAGUCCCAAAGUUGGUCAUGCAUGAAGAAAGGUAGUGGGUGUCAGCGAUAAACACUGAGUAACUAAGCAUGAACGUGAAUAACUGAACUAAUAUCUAGUAAUGUGACAAUGUGGUCCUGUAGGCAUCAUCCUAACAUUAGCCAUCCCAGCUAUGAGCGGAUAGCCUCAUGCUGGAUCAGACCAUGAAACUACCAUGUAAUACCGUGAGAGAAGCUCAAGGCUUGCUCGUCACGUCUAUCUGAAGUCCGACUGUAACCUGGAGGAUCGCGCAAUCUAUGGGGUGGGUGACCGACGUAUAACAGGAGCUAAUCUAUCUUGUCCUGAUUCUUAUCCUAAUCAUGAACCAUGAAUCACACGCACUAUUCCUCGCUGUGAGCUUAUGCUCGAAAUUAACUAAUGUCUGUGCAGUGGAUCACACGCUACUGCAUAGCCUAAAAUACUCAACUGCAUAACACAACUACAUGUAUAGUAGAUCACACGCUACUGUAAAUCCCAACAAUGAUUCAUGAUAACUAAUUACAAUUCUUCGCAUAAAGCAGAAAAGUAAUCCUAACCCCUACCUUUGAAAUAUUUCCUCUGAAGAGUCUGAUUUGAAGUCAUCUCCCUAGAUUUUGAUUGCAUGAUCUGUAUGACCUGAAGAGAUCAAUCGUAGGAAAUCCCAAAACCCCAAAUCCAAACCUGUCAGGAUUAUCCUACGUGGGAUUCAAAACAAAGGAUUGAGAAAGGAGGAAGAAGGUAGAGUACCUUCUGAAGCUCCCUCGACGAUCUCUAAGCCUAUCCUACUGAUCUGGGAUCGAUCAACAAGUUCCUCUCCUCUGUCUGGAACCAAUUGCCGCUCGUCAGUGAUUGCAAAAAGAUAAGGUUUUGGUAAUUCUGAACUUUUGGAAUCGCGACUCUAUUUUUAUAAGCUGUCCACCACGCCCUUGGCCUACUGACCACCACGCCCGUGAUGACAAGCAACCACGCUUGUGUCCUAAUGAUGAUCACGACCGUGAUGCUCCUUCCAGCCACGAACGUGACAAUCACCAACCACGACCGUGAUCUAUCUGAUGAUCACGCCCGUGACAGACUGCCAGUCACACCCGUGAUGGUCUAUCUGAAAGCGAUUGACAGAGACUCAUAGAAACUGGAAUUAAACCCCGAGUCAGACAUUAACCCAAAAUCGAGGUGUUACAGUUAGCAUCAUCAUAAAAAGGCAAGUAGAAUCUAUAGUAACUCUGGCCAGAAUCUGACGCGACCACACCACAAGAAAAGUGCGUAGAAGAAUUCAACAAAACCAAAGAAUUACCCAUGACAAGAGGUUGGUCCACCAACGGAGGGAUCCUAAUUUGAGGAAGGAAGAGGCAGUGGAGACAUUUGUACUGCAUGCGGAUCACCUUAGCCAGGUGGAGAAGAAGAAGUAGGGACCACCCAGAGGAACAUCGGGUGAAAAAUAUACGACAACGGUUUUGCCCGUUUCUUUUUUGCCUGCAGAGCUGGCUCCCCAGCCAAAACUAGAUCACGAACGAGAUAGCCUUCUAGCUUGACAAUCAUCCAUUGUCCCCUAGCGUCUGGCAUCUGUGCAAACCAGGUCUCAUAACCGCAUUGACAGUUCAUAUACCCUAGCCAACCACACAUAAAACGAACGGUGGCAAGUUUUCAUAACGACGAUCGACCCAAAAGGGUCACUCUCCCGCAAUCUUCGCUUCAAUUAUACCAUGAAAUCUUGAGAGCAGAUCCACCCUAACCACAGACUUCAUGAAUCUCGACCCUUGUGCCCUUGGUCGCGCUGAAAAAACUACAAUUUGAUGGACUAACCCAAGGGGGCGCAUAAUGUUCGCCCCGAAAUCCGCCGAACAGCAGUGAGGCGAAACCAUCAAUUGAAUGGACUAACUCCAAGGUUACUCCCGUAGGACAGUAUCCUGAACAGCUACCAUAGGGAAGAGAAACUGGGAUUCAACUUCCAUUGCCUCACCAUCUCCUGAUGAACUGCAUGAGUGGCCUUAAAAAGUGGCCAAGCGAUGCAGCCAACUAAGCUUAGUUUGCAUCCAUCUCUACUCGAUUGAACAUUAGCCUCUGUGAAGUCCACAUACAAGUUUGGUGGUAACGCCUCCAUUGAAAAGGCACCAUGAAUAGAUUGCACCAAAUAAUUGCUGAGAAAGGGCAAGCAAGAUGAAUUGGUGAAGAGGAAAAACGAAACAGACGAGGAUACAAAACCCAAGAGUAGAUCUGUACCUAAUAUAGGCAUCAAAGCGCACCAUGGAAGUGUAGUUGAGUGGAUAAGCCCCAAGAUAACUGUCGAGAUAACUCCCCAUAAAACUACCUGAAAUCAAUUGCCGAUUUCAAACUCCCUAGAAAUCUGGGUGAAGGCGAGCGACAAAUGCGUAGGAAACCCGAUAGAUCGAGCACCAAACAACCAUGAAAAGAAAAAUGGAGAUGGUGCAAACUGAAAUUCUACCAAUAAACCCUGAGAUUGAAGGAAGAGGCAAAGCAAAAUCGAAGAAGAAGGCGGAAGACGGAAGACGGGCAGGGGAGGCAGAGAAAGAAAGGCGGGGUGGCGGCGGAGGGAAGAGGGGAGCACGAGGGGGAGAGAGAAGCCUCGAGAAC